CAGGAAAUGUGCCUGAACCAAAGGGCUACUUUGAUAGAGUAGAACAUAGGGGUUUAAACCCCCUCAUUUCCCCCACUAGAAAG
rnacentral:tRNA from 1 species